UAAAAGGGUGUUUGCCUCUUUGAUGGCACGUGUGCUGGCAACGGCGCGCGGGGUAUGGUCAUCAAGACAUACCCAACACGUCAUUUUUGUGAACAAGAGGCAGCUGGCUACCCCUACGUACCGGCGCCUCU